GGGAGGAGGGGGCCUGCCUCCGCCGCCGCGGCGCCGACCCCGCCUCCCGGUUGGCAAGGCCCCCAGUGGCCAAGGCAUGAGCCUGGAUGCCCUGCAAAUUGAGUACGUGUUAGGGAUGGGGGCCAUUCUUUAUAGUUUGACUCUGGAGAGCUAGGACCACCUUUCCCAGCCUCAGGGGUGCACAUCCUCAGGAGCUGCCUACCUCCAGAUAUUCACUUCGGGACGCUGAGAGAGGUGGAUCACCUGAGGUCAGGAGUUCGAGAUCAGCCUGGCCAACAUGGAGAAACCCCGCCUCUACUAAAAAUACAAAACAUUAGCUGGGUGUGGUGGCACACACCUGUAAUUCCAGCUACUCGGGAGGCAGAAGCAGGAGAAUCGCUUGAAUCCAGGAGGCGGAGGUUGCAGUAAGCCGAGAUCACGCCACUACACUCCAGCUUACACUGGACAUGAUGAGGAGGAGGAGGAUGAUGGUGGUGAUUAUGAUAGAAAUGGUGAUGGUGAUGAUGACAAUGGUGAUAGUAGGGAUGGUCUUGCUCUGUCGCAAUCAAUAAAUGAAUGCAUAAACACAUUUCUACUUGUUUUUGCAGUCCUAAGAUAAGUGCUCAGUAGCAUCCCUGCCCUUCUAAUGUGAACUUGAGGGAUGGGUAAGACCCAGAGAUGGCAUGGGGGACGGGAUAAGGAAGGCCUACUGUUCAUAUUGUGAACAUGAAAUGGUUUUACAUUUUGAUGCCACUUCAUUAAAUUGACUGUAUGAUAUGAGCUAACGCUACACCCUCCUUUAAAUUUUGGCUAACACAUCCAUAUCCUCAGGUGGUAUCAGUUGAUAAUGCCCAUGAAAAUAUUUUGUAAACUACAGGGUGCUAAACAAUUAUUUACUUGUAUCCCUUUCUGUGGGGCACAGUUUGAUGCUAUACACAAAGCAGUGAAGUCUCGACAAGAAUGAUGACCACUACAAUGAGCACAAAAUAAAGUCUUUUUGGGGUUUUU
rnacentral:lncRNA from 1 species